UGCGUGCUGUGCUUACUGCUUGGGUUACGAUAAGAUCGGGCGGGGUUUCGGCCCAACCGCGACGGCGUCGGGCGUGGUUCGAGCCGAGAGGUAGAGUACGCGCGCGCGACGAGGGACGGCGGACGAAGGCGCUCCUCUCGGAGGAGGAGGAGGUGGUCGGGCGCCGCCCGCGGUACCUGGACGAGCCGCAGAAGAAGGUACCGCGCUGCGAGCGCAAGCUCGCCCUGCUGGAGCCCUUCCUCUAGUACCCCUAGCGCCACGGCCCGCGCGAGCGCGAGUACCGGCUGGGCGAGCGCAGAGAGCAGCUGUGGCGGAAGUAGCCGGCGUAUCCAGGUCAUCUCUAACGUCGACAUCCACAUAGAUAACAGCACAAGUUAGUUCAUUGUUCUUAACGUCAUAAGGGGGAACACUCGCAGUGUUGUAGUAAACAACGUCUCCUUCUACGAUGAAGGUCACUGUCUUUGUUUCUACUUUAUUCACCGCUCUUACUUGUGUUACAAUCGCUUUACCUACUUGACUAAUGAGUACUUCUCUUAUUACGGUGUAGGCCGUUUAGCAGAAAGCUUUGACUGAGUUCACUCUAGUUAUGACUCGUAUUCGCCUUUUUUUAAGGUAGUCAAAGAUGUCGUAAUGAUGAACCACACCACGAACCAGAACAACUUUGAGACGACGAACAAAGGACACGUUUCGGAUAGAAUCUGAAGUACCCACACUUUCGCAUGAAUCAUGAGUCUAGAAAUCCACGAGGACGACAAGAAAAUAGAGACCGUUACGUUCCCCAUAAAGCACCUGAAUUUCUAUGUUCCUGCGGAGAUAUACGUUGACACCGACCUCUACGUUAGUUAUAUCAAAACCUAGGUUAUAAAUACAAACACAAAGUCAUACCACAGUCACCACGUCGUCAACGAGUACAAUAUAGUGUUAUAAAGUAACGACGGUAUGAGGAUACAUCUGAUGCAGACGUUCAACUUGAUGACGGUGGGUUGAACUUUGUAGACGGCUAACCAGCCAAGGAAUUUUUGCCAAGAGACAAUGAACGGUCUCAAUAACGGCGUUGUACGACACAUUGUGAUAGACGUAGUUACCGACGUGCCGAUCCAAGUUGAGUUUACCGACGUAAGGUCUAAACGAACGUCUAGACCAACCGUAGAAGGGAAGAACGACUACCUAACCGAAAACGACCUGUCCGAUAUGAACGUUCACGUAAACGAGCAUUCCUGGUAAGCUUCCGGUUCCGGUGUCGAAGGGCGAAUGACGUCGAACCCAACUAGAACCCCGAAGAGGACCCGGAUGAAGAUCCUCAACCGGAGGUAUGUCCAAGCUCUAAUAAAUGUCUUCUGGUCCCACAUGACGUAGUAUAGAUGCACCGUUAUGGCAAACAGCGAGAGUGAGUUGGCUAGUUGCGAAAUCGAAAACAAAAGCUGCCACAGUUAAUACCACGUAGACUAAAACGUAUACGACGAAUAAGUAACUAUGAACACCGCUAACAGUCGUAACGAAAGUAACAGUGGGAGCGGUUAAUGUCACCAAAGUAACCUUAGACCUAUCGGAACAGCUAGAUGUACACGGAGGCGUACAAACGCCCCAAUACCUCCUAACCCUGACGUGCUCCCGGUACCCGAAAGGAAGCGUCGACUCGUUCGUACGUACGUACAUAUAAGAGCAUCUAUCAGACUGACAUCCAUCUUAUAAAUGUGAACAUUUGUUGAAACCUCAUUGACACAAUGAACAUACGGAGUUCGGACGGUGGUACUAGUGGUCUCUGGUCUGACUAUAUAGAAAUUGUUACGUUGGAUCGUGUUCUUACUGUAUAACAUGUUUGCUUAUUUGUUUUUCUCAACGUGAAAUUGAAAA
rnacentral:rRNA from 1 species